rnacentral:rRNA from 1 species
UGGGGAAUAUUGCACAAUGGGCGCAAGCCUGAUGCAGCCAUGCCGCGUGUAUGAAGAAGGCCUUCGGGUUGUAAAGUACUUUCAGCGGGGAGGAAGGGAGUAAAGUUAAUACCUUUGCUCAUUGACGUUACCCGCAGAAGAAGCACCGGCUAACUCCGUGCCAGCAGCCGCGGUAAUACGGAGGGUGCAAGCGUUAAUCGGAAUUACUGGGCGUAAAGCGCACGCAGGCGGUUUGUUAAGUCAGAUGUGAAAUCCUCGGGCUCAACCUGGGAACUGCAUCUGAUACUGGCAAGCUUGAGUCUCGUAGAGGGGGGUAGAAGUCCAGGUGUAGCGGUGGAAUGCGUAGAGAUCUGGAGGAAUACCGGUGGCGAAGGCGGCCCCCUGGACGAAGACUGACGCUCAGGUGCGAAAGCGUGGGGAGCAAACAGG